rnacentral:rRNA from 1 species
GUCGAACGCGAAGACCCCGCAAGGGGUUUGUAGCGUGGCAAACGGGUGAGUAACGCGUGGGCGACCUGCCUUCGAGUGGGGGAUAACCUUCCGAAAGGAGGGCUAAUACCGCAUGACAUGCCUUGUUUAGAUACAGGGACAUCAAAGCCGGGGAUCGCAAGACCUGGCGCUUGGAGAGGGGCCUACGUCCGAUUAGCUAGUUGGUGGGGUAACGGCUCACCAAGGCGACGAUCGGUAUCCGGCCUGAGAGGGCGGACGGACACACUGGGACUGAGACACGGCCCAGACUCCUACGGGAGGCAGCAGUAGGGAAUUGUUCGCAAUGGGCGCAAGCCUGACGACGCAACGCCGCGUGGAGGAUGAAGACCUUCGGGUCGUAAACUCCUUUCGACCAAGAUGAACACCUCUCGAUCUAAUACCUCGAGAGGCUGACAGUAUUGAGGGAAGAAGCCCCGGCUAACUCCGUGCCAGCAGCCGCGGUAAUACGGGGGGGGCAAGCGUUGUUCGGAAUUACUGGGCGUAAAGGGUUCGUAGGUGGCCAACUAAGUCAGACGUGAAAUCCCUCAGCUUAACUGGGGAACUGCGUCUGAUACUGGUCGGCUUGAGUGCAGGAGAGGAACGCGGAAUUCCAGGUGUAGCGGUGAAAUGCGUAGAUAUCUGGAGGAACACCGGUGGCGAAGGCGGCGUUCUGGACUGCAACUGACACUGAGGAACGAAAGCCAGGGGAGCAAACGGGAUUAGAUACCCCGGUAGUCCUGGCCCUAAACGAUGAAUGCUUGGUGUGGCGGGUAUCGAUCCCUGCCGUGCCGUAUUAACGCGUUAAGCAUUCCGCCUGGGGAUACGGUCGCAGGCUGA